rnacentral:rRNA from 1 species
AGCGAACGCUGGCGGCAGGCCUAACACAUGCAAGUCGAACGAACCUUUCGGGGUUAGUGGCGGACGGGUGAGUAACACGUGGGAACGUGCCUUUAGGUUCGGAAUAACUCAGGGAAACUUGUGCUAAUACCGAAUGUGCCCUUCGGGGGAAAGAUUUAUCGCCUUUAGAGCGGCCCGCGUCUGAUUAGCUAGUUGGUUGAGGUAAUGGCUCACCAAGGCGACGAUCAGUAGCUGGUCUGAGAGGAUGAUUAGCCACAUUGGGACGGAGACACGGCCCAAACUCCUACGGGAGGCAGCAGUGGGGAAUCUUGCGCAAUGGGCGAAAGCCUGACGCAGCCAUGCCGCGUGAAUGAUGAAGGUCUUAGGAUUGUAAAAUUCUUUCACCGGGGACGAUAAUGACGGUACCCGGAGAAGAAGCCCCGGCUAACUUCGUG